AGCGGCGUACGGGUGCGGAACACGUGUGCAACCUGCCUUUAUCUGGGGGAUAGCCUUUCGAAAGGAAGAUUAAUACUCCAUAAUAUAUUGAUUGGCAUCAAUUAAUAUUGAAAGCUCCGGCGGGAAUGGAUGGGCAUGCGUGCCAUUAGCUGGCUGGUAAGGUAACGGCUUACCAAGGCUACGAUGGCUAGGGGGUCUGGGAGGAUGAUCCCCCACACUGGUACUGAGACACGGACCAGACUCCUACGGGAGGCAGCAGUGAGGAAUAUUGGUCAAUGGGCGGAAGCCUGAACCAGCCAUGCCGCGUGCAGGACGACGGCCCUACGGGUUGUAAACUGCUUUUCCGGGGGAAGAAUAACCCCCCUGCGGGGGGGGAUGCCGGUACCCCGGGAAUAAGGAUCGGCUAACUCCGUGCCAGCAGCCGCGGUAAUACGGAGGAUCCUAGCGUUAUCCGGAUUUACUGGGUUUAAAGGGUGCGUAGGCGGGCGUUUAAGUCCGCGGUGAAAGUCUGCGGCUCAACCGUAGGAUUGCCGUGGAUACUGGACGUCUUGGAUUCGGUCGGGGCGGGCGGAAUGCGUGGUGUAGCGGUGAAAUGCAUAGAUAUCACGCAGAACGCCGAUAGCGAAGGCAGCUCGCCGGGCCGAAAUCGACGCUGAGGCACGAAAGCGUGGGGAUCAAACAGGAUUAGAUACCCUGGUAGUCCACGCC
rnacentral:rRNA from 1 species